AGGUUUUUUUUUGCGGAUGUUCAGACCAUCGGGAUCAAUUGUUCUGCCUUUUUUAAUUAAAAAAGCUUCCCUGGCCUUGCGGAUGGAGUCUCGGUUGGAAAAGGUUUUUUCC